rnacentral:rRNA from 1 species
AGAGUUUGAUCCUGGCUCAGGAUGAACGCUGGCGGCGUGCCUAAUACAUGCAAGUCGAGCGAACAGACGAGGAGCUUGCUCCUUUGACGUUAGCGGCGGACGGGUGAGUAACACGUGGGUAACCUACCUAUAAGACUGGGAUAACUUCGGGAAACCGGAGCUAAUACCGGAUAAUAUAUUGAACCGCAUGGUUCAAUAGUGAAAGACGGUUUUGCUGUCACUUAUAGAUGGAUCCGCGCCGCAUUAGCUAGUUGGUAAGGUAACGGCUUACCAAGGCAACGAUGCGUAGCCGACCUGAGAGGGUGAUCGGCCACACUGGAACUGAGACACGGUCCAGACUCCUACGGGAGGCAGCAGUAGGGAAUCUUCCGCAAUGGGCGAAAGCCUGACGGAGCAACGCCGCGUGAGUGAUGAAGGUCUUCGGAUCGUAAAACUCUGUUAUUAGGGAAGAACAAAUGUGUAAGUAACUAUGCACGUCUUGACGGUACCUAAUCAGAAAGCCACGGCUAACUACGUGCCAGCAGCCGCGGUAAUACGUAGGUGGCAAGCGUUAUCCGGAAUUAUUGGGCGUAAAGAGGGAGCAGGCGGCAGCAAGGGUCUGUGGUGAAAGCCUGAAGCUUAACUUCAGUAAGCCAUAGAAACCAGGCAGCUAGAGUGCAGGAGAGGAUCGUGGAAUUCCAUGUGUAGCGGUGAAAUGCGUAGAUAUAUGGAGGAACACCAGUGGCGAAGGCGGAUUGCUGGACAGUAACUGACGCUGAGGCGCGAAAGCGUGGGGAGCAAACAGGAUUAGAUACCCUGGUAGUCCACGCC